AUUUACGCAAUGGGGUGCCUGCCCGACGAAAGUCGGGGUAAUUAAAGGCUGAGAUCACACCCACCGAACCUGAUACGGGUAAUGCCGGCGAAGGGAUGGCGAAAGGGAAUUAC
rnacentral:ncRNA from 2 species